rnacentral:rRNA from 1 species
GCGGCAGCUUACCAUGCNAGUCGAAGCCCCGCAAGGGGAGUGGCAGACGGGUGAGUAACGCGUGGGAACAUACCCUUUCCUGCGGAAUAGCUCCGGGAAACUGGAAUUAAUACCGCAUACGCCCUACGGGGGAAAGAUUUAUCGGGGAAGGAUUGGCCCGCGUUGGAUUAGCUAGUUGGUGGGGUAAAGGCCUACCAAGGCGACGAUCCAUAGCUGGUCUGAGAGGAUGAUCAGCCACAUUGGGACUGAGACACGGCCCAAACUCCUACGGGAGGCAGCAGUGGGGAAUAUUGGACAAUGGGCGCAAGCCUGAUCCAGUCAUGCCGCGUGAGUGAUGAAGGCCUUAGGGUUGUAAAGCUCUUUCACCGGAGAAGAUAAUGACGGUAUCCGGAGAAGAAGCCCCGGCUAACUUCGUGCCAGCAGCCGCGGUAAU